GAAAAUCUGAACGGCGGCGGCCGCCGCCAUAUUGCGGAGCUGUCAGCGGCGGCUGCGCCUGGCGCCUCGUCCCCGGCGGCGCCGCGAGCAGUACGGGGCGACCCCGCAGCGCCUCCUGCCCCGCUGUGAGGGGGGGAGCCGCGCGGCGGGGGGGGGGCGGGCGCCACCCUGCCCCACGAGGAGCGGAGAGCGCCGCGCUCAGCACCCUACCCGGGGGUCUCGUCCCCGUCCCCCCCUCCGCCCGGCGCCGCGCAGCGCCCGCCCCGCUCGCGGGGGAGCGGAGCCCCAGAAGGGGACAAAGAGCUUGUAGAAGACUUAAGUGGACAAGAGACUAAAGAAAACAAGAAAAAUGCCGAAACCAAUCAAUGUCAGAGUAACAACAAUGGAUGCAGAGUUGGAAUUUGCCAUCCAGCCCAAUACCACAGGCAAACAGCUCUUUGAUCAGGUGGUGAAAACUGUUGGUCUUCGUGAAGUCUGGUUUUUUGGGCUACAGUAUGUGGACAGCAAAGGCUACUCAACUUGGCUGAAGCUAAAUAAAAAGGUAACACAGCAAGAUGUAAGGAAAGAAAAUCCUUUGCAGUUUAAGUUCAGGGCCAAGUUUUUUCCAGAGGAUGUAUCAGAAGAAUUAAUUCAGGAAAUAACUCAGAGACUUUUCUUCCUGCAAGUCAAAGAAGCUAUCUUAAAUGAUGAAAUAUAUUGCCCACCAGAAACUGCAGUUCUUCUGGCUUCUUAUGCUGUCCAGUCCAAGUAUGGAGAUCACAGUAAGGAGAUACAUAAACUAGGCUACCUAGCCAAUGACAGACUUCUCCCUCAGCGUGUGUUAGAACAGCACAAACUGACAAAAGAACAGUGGGAAGAAAGGAUACAGAACUGGCAUGAAGAGCACAGGGGAAUGUUAAGGGAGGAUUCUAUGAUGGAAUACCUUAAGAUAGCACAAGACUUGGAAAUGUAUGGAGUCAACUAUUUUGAAAUAAAGAAUAAAAAAGGAACUGAAUUGUGGCUAGGAGUUGAUGCUUUGGGUCUGAAUAUUUAUGAGCAUGAUGAUAAGCUGACACCCAAGAUUGGUUUUCCUUGGAGUGAAAUAAGAAACAUCUCUUUUAAUGACAAAAAAUUUGUCAUAAAGCCAAUUGACAAAAAGGCCCCUGAUUUUGUUUUCUAUGCGCCCCGUCUGAGAAUUAACAAGCGAAUUUUGGCACUGUGUAUGGGAAAUCAUGAAUUGUACAUGAGGAGGAGGAAACCUGAUACAAUUGAAGUGCAACAGAUGAAGGCCCAAGCUAGAGAGGAGAAACAUCAGAAACAAUUGGAAAGGGCACAAUUAGAAAAUGAGAAGAAGAAAAGGGAGAUAGCAGAAAAGGAAAAGGAAAGAAUAGAGCGUGAAAAAGAAGAAUUAAUGGAACGCUUAAGACAAAUUGAGGAACAAACAAUGAAAGCUCAGAAAGAGCUAGAGGAACAGACUAGAAGAGCUCUAGAACUGGAUCAAGAACGAAAGCGUGCAAAAGAGGAAGCAGAGCGCCUGGAAAAAGAACGUCGAGCAGCUGAAGAAGCUAAAGCUGCUCUAGCCAAGCAGACAGCUGAUCAAAUGAAGAACCAAGAGCAGCUAGCAGCCGAACUUGCUGAAUUCACUGCCAAGAUUGCGCUUCUAGAGGAGGCCAAGAAAAAGAAAGAAGAGGAAGCCUCAGAAUGGCAGCACAAAGCUUUUGCAGCCCAAGAGGACUUGGAAAAGACCAAAGAAGAACUGAAAUCUGUGAUGUCUGCUCCUCCUCCACCUCCUCCCCCACCAGUUAUUCCUCCAACAGAGAAUGAACAUGAUGAACAUGAUGAGAACAAUGCUGAAGCCAGUGCAGAACUGUCUUCUGAUGGUGUCAUGAAUCACAGGAGUGAGGAAGAACGGGUAACAGAAACACAGAAAAAUGAACGUGUUAAGAAACAGCUCCAGGCUUUAAGUUCUGAGUUGGCUCAAGCCAGAGAUGAAACCAAGAAAACACAAAAUGAUGUCCUUCAUGCUGAGAAUGUUAAAGCAGGCCGUGAUAAGUACAAGACUCUUCGACAAAUCCGACAAGGCAAUACAAAGCAGCGUAUUGAUGAGUUUGAAGCAAUCAGUAGGCUUUAGGCAGCAGAAGAAACAAGGGGACAUGGCAAUGCACAUCAAAGGAGGCGGCCUAGUCAGUGCAAAUAUUCCUAAUGCACAUGUGUGUAAGAGUUAAUGUUCCCUGUGCUCUGGAUAAGUGGAUCAGGUGAAAAGAGAUCAAGCUCAGAGUUGUAUUGCCAGAAAGAGAUUCAUUUGCAUCGGGGCUGAGGCUGAAAACUUUUCUGCCAAGUGCACUUCGAUCUUCAACAAAGUUACAAAAGUACGAUCUCUUGCAGCCCUUAGGAUAGGAACAAGGUAAAGAUCAGCAGAAGACCUGGGGUCUGCCAAGGCCUGCUAUUGUGCUUCUCUAACUCUGGACAGUUUACAGCGCUUUAAAUUAGGUGCUGCCUGGUCCAUGAAGAGUUUUUUGGAAGGACCAGAAGUGCUGUUAUGACAUUUUGUUAAUGUUUGGUUCUCUCAUGGUCUCUCUAAAUCUUUCCUUUGUUGUCUUUUCCCAGGAGAAAAUUAGCUUUUUGAAGUAUUUAAGCCAUUGUUCUUCCCAGAAAAACAGGAAAUAAUACUAAUAUGUUAAUCUUUAACAUGUAAUGGGACGUGCUAGAGUGAAAUGUGAUGUGACCCUUCAAAGUGCUUGGAGGAUCUUGUAGGCUUUGCCCACAAAUGAUGUAGUGUGGGAAGCCUGACUCUAUAUCCAGCCUGGGUAAAGUGAAAUAAGAGUAGAUACUUUCCAAGUUUUAUUGGUUUUCUACACAAAUCCUAAUAGCCCUGAUGAUACAUGAAUAAUGUCAGAUAAUUUUCUAAUGUAAAACUCCCAAUUUAAUAUGUCUGUACAUACAUUCCAGUGUAAGCACCCGUUGCUACUUGCCUUUUUGUACGCUAAUAGGAUGUGCAUACUGUGUAUACGUAACUGCGUUGAAUUGUGCACCCUGCACAAAAGCCUGAAUAAAUGGGUUUUAACGUUAA